rnacentral:rRNA from 1 species
CAAUAGCGUAUAUUUAAGUUGCUGCAGUUAAAAAGCUCGUAGUUGGAUUUCGGUUAAGAGCGACCGGUCCGCCGUUUGGUGUGCACUGGUUGGUUUUAACUUCCUGUAGAGGGCGUGCUCUGGGUUUAACGACCUGGACUCGGAGUCUACGUGGUUACUUUGAAAAAAUUAGAGUGUUCAAAGCGGGCUUACGCUUGAAUAUUUCAGCAUGGAAUAACACUAUAGGACUCCUGUCCUAUUUCGUUGGUCUCGGGACGGGAGUAAUGAUUAAGAGGAACAGUUGGGGGCAUUCGUAUUUCAUUGUCAGAGGUGAAAUUCUUGGAUUUAUGAAAGACGAACUUCUGCGAANGNAUUUGCNAAGGAUGUUUNCAUUA